GCACGAAGUGGAUGCCUUGAUACCUAUUGAAAGGACGUCAAUCUACGAAAAGCCAUUUGCAAUUGUUCAAAUGGAUCUCCUAAGGAAAACCCAGAAGUGUCAAACCCUGUCAAUGGAAACCACCAAGAACAGGCAUGAAAAAUCAACCGAGAGUCCGGCAGUAGCGGUGAGCGACCCCGGACAGUGAAGGCUUUCGUACUUACAUACCUUGUGGUAUGUUGAUGAUCUGAGCCCCCGAAACCGUUUUAUCUUAGGAAUUCCUAAGAUAAUCUCAAAAGAGUUGGAAAAGCGGUUGCCAAAGAAGGUGAUAGCCCCGUAGGGUCUCCCCGGACAGAUCGUACCCCAUGUACCCAUGGAUUUUAUAGAAAAUUUCGUUUUGAAAUAACCACGGGGGUCCCACCCUCCAAACUUAAACAAUAGGUAAUCGAUAGUGAACUAGUACCGUGAGGGAAAGGUGAAAAGAACGACCCCAGGUUGUAGUGAAAGAGAACUGAAACCUCGUGCCAACCCACACCUGAAAGCUUGUUAGAGUUUCAGGGUGCCUUUUGCAACAUGAUCAUGCGAGUUUUUUGGAACAGCUGCUUAACUUUGUAAAGGUAGGCC
rnacentral:rRNA from 1 species